AGCAGCCGCGGUAAUUCCAGCUCCAAUAGCGUAUAUUAAAGUUGUUGCAGUUAAAAAGCUCGUAGUUGAAUUUCGGGGUUAGUAGGUUGGUCAUGCCUCUGGUAUGUACUGGUCUCACUGAUUCCUCCUUCCUGAUGAGCCGUAAUGCCAUUAAUUUGGUGUUGCGGGGAAUUUGGACUGUUACUUUGAAAAAAUUAGAGUGUUUAAAGCAAGCUAACGCUUGAAUACAUUAGCAUGGAAUAAUGAAAUAGGACGUUCGAUCCUAUUUUGUUGGUUUCUAGGAUUGACGUAAUGAUUAAUGGGGAUAGUUGGGGGCAUUAGUAUUCAAUUGUCAGAGGUGAAAUUCUUGGAUUUAUUGAAGACUAACUACUGCGAAAGCAUUUGCCAAGGAUGUUUUCAUUAAUCAAGAACGAAAGUUAGGGGAUCGAAGACGAUCAGAUACCGUCGUAGUCUUAACCAUAAACUAUGCCGACUAGGGAUCGGAUGAUGUUAAUUUUUUAAUGACUCA
rnacentral:rRNA from 1 species